rnacentral:rRNA from 1 species
CCUACGGGAGGCAGCAGUGAGGAAUAUUGGUCAAUGGGCGCGAGCCUGAACCAGCCAAGUCGCGUGAGGGAAGACGGCCCUCUGAAUGGUAAACUUCUUUUGUCGGGGAGCAAAAGACGCCACGCGUGGCGUUCCGAGAGUACCCGAAGAACAAGCAUCGGCUAACUCCGUGCCAGCAGCCGCGGUAAUACGGAGGAUGCGGGCGUUGUCCGGUUUUAUUGGGGUGAAAGGGUGCGCAGGGGGAAGAUCAAGUCAGUGGUAAAACUGAGAGGAUCAACCUCUGCGUGCCGUUGAGACUGGUUUUCUUGAGUGAUCGAGAGGUAUGCGGAAUGCGGGGUGUAGCGGUGAAAUGCGUAGAUAUCACGCAGAACUCCGAUGGCGAAGGCAGAAUACUGGAGCGUAACUGACGCUGAUGCACGAAAGUGUGGGUAGCGAACAGGAUUAGAUACCCCUGUAGUC